UACGAUAUUUCCUUAAAUCGCUAGGCUAAUAAAGAUGUGCAAAGAGAGAAGUUAGUAGGAGAAAUCAGGUCAGAAAAACCCAAAGUCACAAACUCAGUGUUACAGGCACCAAGAGGAAAGAGCAAAGAGCCUCCAAUAGACCGUGCAGGGCAGAACCUUCAGGUGAAUGGACAUCAACGGGGAAAGAUCUCAGAAGCGUUUUUCAAAGCAAAGAUCAAAUGGUCAAUGAGCGUAAAAGCCUUACAAUCUACGUUACUCUUUGUGCGCAUAAAGUGGUAUUCCUGACAUGACAGCUGGUAUUCCACUCAAUAAGACCGCACUAGACCGAAUGCUCACCAAAGUCAUGACGCCGAGCCUGUCCACUUCACGU